rnacentral:tRNA from 1 species
UUAACUGAAACCAAAAAGAGGUAUAUUAUUGUUAAUAAUAAAAAUGAAUUAAUAAUUCCUGUUAAA